rnacentral:rRNA from 1 species
AGAGUUUGAUCCUGGCUCAGGACGAACGCUGGCGGCGUGCCUAAUACAUGCAAGUCGAGCGAAUCUCGAGGAGCUUGCUCCUUGAGGUUAGCGGCGGACGGGUGAGUAACACGUGGGCAACCUGCCUGUAAGACUGGGAUAACACCGGGAAACCGGUGCUAAUACCGGAUAAUUCUUUUCCUCACAUGAGGGAAAUCUGA